rnacentral:rRNA from 1 species
UGGGGAAUAUUGCACAAUGGGCGGAAGCCUGAUGCAGCAACGCCGCGUGCGGGAUGACGGCCUUCGGGUUGUAAACCGCUUUCGCCUGUGACGAAGCGUGAGUGACGGUAAUGGGUAAAGAAGCACCGGCUAACUACGUGCCAGCAGCCGCGGUGAUACGUAGGGUGCGAGCGUUGUCCGGAUUUACUGGGCGUAAAGGGCUCGUAGGCGGUUGAUCGCGUCGGAAGUGUAAUCUUGGGGCUUAACCCUGAGCGUGCUUUCGAUACGGGUUGACUUGAGGAAGGUAGGGGAGAAUGGAAUUCCUGGUGGAGCGGUGGAAUGCGCAGAUAUCAGGAGGAACACCAGUGGCGAAGGCGGUUCUCUGGGCCUUUCCUGACGCUGAGGAGCGAAAGCGUGGGGAGCGAACAGGCUUAGAUACCCUGGUAGUCCACGCUGUAAACGGUGGGUACUAGGUGUGGGGUCCAUUCCACGGGUUCCGUGCCGUAGCUAACGCUUUAAGUACCCCGCCUGGGGAGUACGGCCGCAAGGCUAAAACUCAAAUGAAUUGACGGGGUCAUAGCUGUUCCU